rnacentral:rRNA from 1 species
AUUGAACGCUGGCGGCAGGCUUAACACAUGCAAGUCGAGCGAGCGGCGGACGGGUGGGUGAUGUCUUGGCAACUGCCUGAUGGAGGCGGAUAACUACUGGAAACGGUAGCUAAUCCCGCAUACCAUCCGUUCGGCCCACGUGGGAUUAGCUAGUGGGGGGGGUAACGGCUGACCAAGGCGACGAUCCCUACCUGGGCUGAGAGGAUGAUCAGCAACACUGGAACUGAGACACGGUCCAGACUCCUACGGGAGGCAGCAGUGGGGAAUCUUGGGCAAUGGGCGAAAGCCUGACGCAGCCAGGCCGCGUGUAUGAAGAAGGUUUUCGGGUUGUAAAGCACUGUCAGUGGGGAGGCGGUAUCCGAAGAAGAAGCCCCGGCUAACUCCGUGCCAGCAGCCGCGGUAAUUC